rnacentral:rRNA from 1 species
GAGUAAUGCCUAGGAAUCUGCCUGGUAGUGGGGGAUAACGCUCGGAAACGGACGCUAAUACCGCAUACGUCCUACGGGAGAAAGCAGGGGACCUUCGGGCCUUGCGCUAUCAGAUGAGCCUAGGUCGGAUUAGCUAGUUGGUGAGGUAAUGGCUCACCAAGGCGACGAUCCGUAACUGGUCUGAGAGGAUGAUCAGUCACACUGGAACUGAGACACGGUCCAGACUCCUACGGGAGGCAGCAGUGGGGAAUAUUGGACAAUGGGCGAAAGCCUGAUCCAGCCAUGCCGCGUGUGUGAAGAAGGUCUUCGGAUUGUAAAGCACUUUAAGUUGGGAGGAAGGGCAGUAACCUAAUACGUUAUUGUUUUGACGUUACCGACAGAAUAAGCACCGGCUAACUCUGUGCCAGCCGCCGCGGUAAUACAA